rnacentral:rRNA from 1 species
AGAUUGAACGCUAGCGGGAUGCUUUAACGACAUGCAAGUCGAACGGCAGCGCGGACUUCGGUCUGGCGGCGAGUGGCGAACGGGUGAGUAAUAUAUCGGAACGUGCCCAGUAGCGGGGGAUAACUACGCGAAAGCGUGGCUAAUACCGCAUACGCCCUACGGGGGAAAGGGGGGAUCGCAAGACCUCUCACUAUUGGAGCGGCCGAUAUCAGAUUAGCUAGUUGGUGAGGUAAAGGCUCACCAAGGCGACGAUCUGUAGCUGGUUUGAGAGGACGACCAGCCACACUGGGACUGAGACACGGCCCAGACUCCUACGGGAGGCAGCAGUGGGAAUUUGGACAAUGGGGGAAACCUGAUCCAGCCAUCCCGCGUGUGCGAUGAAGGCCCUUACGGGUUGUAAACGC